UACGUAGGGUGCAAGCGUUGUCCGGAAUUAUUGGGCGUAAAGAGCUCGUAGGCGGUUCGUCGCGUCGGCUGUGAAAUCCCGAGGCUCAACCUCGGGUCUGCAGUCGAUACGGGCGGACUGGAGUACUGCAGGGGAGACUGGAAUUCCUGGUGUAGCGGUGAAAUGCGCAGAUAUCAGGAGGAACACCGGUGGCGAAGGCGGGUCUCUGGACAGUUCCUGACACUGAGACACGAAGGCCAGGGGAGCAAACGGG
rnacentral:rRNA from 1 species